GAUGAACGCUGGCGGCGUGCCUAAUACAUGCAAGUCGAGCGAAAAGAUGAGGAGCUUGCCUCUCUGACGUUAGCGGCGGACGGGAGAGUAACAAGUGGAUAACCUACCUAUAAGACUGGGAUAACUUCGGGAAACCGGAGCUAAUACCGGAUAAUAUAUUGAACCGCAUGGUUCAAUAGUGAAAGACGGUGUUGCUGUCACUUAUAGAUGGAUCCGCGCCGCAUUAGAUAGUUGGUAAGGUAACGGCUUACCAAGGCGACGAUGCGUAGCCGACCUGAGAGGAUGAUCGGCCACACUGGGACUGAGACACGGUCCAGACUCCUACGGGAGGCAGCAGUGGGGAAUCUUGGACAAAGGGCGAAAGCCUGAUCGAGCAACGCCGCGUGCAUGAUGAAGGUCUUCGGGUUGUAAAACGCUUUUGUUAGGGACGAACAGGUGUGGGAGAAAAUAUGGGGGUCAUGACGGUACCGAAAGAAUAAGCACCGGCUAACUACGUG
rnacentral:rRNA from 1 species